CAGAGAAUAGUUUAUUUAAAAUAUUAAUUUUGGAGAUUAAUGAUGAGAUUUAUCUUUUCUUUGA
rnacentral:tRNA from 1 species